rnacentral:lncRNA from 1 species
CAUACAAUACAACCAUCCUAUUGUCACUUGUCUCAUCUCGUUUCAUUUAUCAUAUCCCUAACAAAUUUUUAUUAAUAAAAAAUCUUUACAAAUGAAAGGUGUCGUAUAAAUUCGUAGGAGCAUGCAUUGAGUUCCAUAGAUAUCCGAAACACGGUUAAGGCAAUCCCUCUCUCUCUUUCACUCUUUGAAACCAAAAAGAAAAAGACAGAAAGACAUGUCUCGCCACAGACGGCAAGCAUCUCAAGUGCUGCCGCCGGAGAUACUUACCGGAGAUGGGAGGCUUGGAGAGUCAUUGGUACAGGCAAACGCAGGAGUAGCAGUGGUGGAUCAUGGCAGUGGAGAAGGCAAUUCAAUCAACGAAAGAUCAACAAAGCCUUCCACAAGUAGUCAUUCUGAACAACAAACCACUGCUGCUGCUCAUUUUCCACCCAAGAAUUCGCUUCCUGGAAAAUCUGCAUGAACACUCUCACCCCAAGAAAACCUAGCUCCUCGUGCUUUUUUACAAAUAAAUUCCUGCUGUUUCUUCUUCUAGUUAUGUUAUAGUUUCCAUCCAAGGAGGAGAUUCAAAUUUCAUAUCUCUGCCAUUUAAUUUUAAAGUUAAUAAUCUGUCCCAAAAGAGGUAUAGUAAGACGAUUUUUCAUUUUUUAAUUAGAACAAGGAGAAAGUUUUCAAAAAUAUUUAUAAUUUUUUUAUGAACGAAUUAUUGUCUCACUAAUUUAGUGAAUAAAAAUAAUGAUAUUAUUUUUUAAGUGAAAUUAAGGGAUUUUUAUGGAUUGAAUGUUAGAAAAAAA